UCCAAAGUGUGCCACCUCCAGUGAGCCUC
rnacentral:piRNA from 1 species